rfam:Fibulorhizoctonia sp. CBS 109695 unplaced genomic scaffold FIBSPscaffold_7, whole genome shotgun sequence.
GCCCGCCUAGCUCAAUCGGAUAGAGCGUCAGACUCUUAGGCGGGUUACUCAUUCCCUCGGGAUGAUCUGAAGGCUGCGAGUUCGACCCUCGCGGUGGGCU